AAUGGUUCUUGUUCAAGGCAGCUUGCGCUCUUUUGAUCUUAACCCGCCGCUUCAAUGAUGACAAUUAAAAAAAAAAAUCUUGGUCAGGAAAAAAAAAGUCAUGGGGGAGUGAGAGGAGCCGGCAAGAGGCCAGGUCAAUCGUGCCUUUAAUUUUUUUUUUCUCCUUUUCUUUUCAAAUUCCACAGAGCAACUCAGGCCCUCUCUAAUCAGCAAUUAACAAAUGCCAGUCUAUCGCCUGUUCUCCUCCUCGCCAUUAAAUCGCCGAUCAAAGAGCAAUUAGAAGCCUCUGCUCCCACUGGCCCAGCUCUUUUGAUGUGGAAAUCGAGCCCCGUUGUGAAUCUGUUCCCCCGGCUGAAGUCACUUUUUGCUGACAAAUAUUAUCUGGAAAAGACAAUGCCGGGAAAGGUUGGAGGCAUCAGGAAAAGAGGAAGACCACACGCGAGAUGGACUGGCUCCCUAAAGGAAACCACAGGCUUCAGUUUGCAAGAGCUGAGCAGGGCUGUUGUGAAGCGGACAUUUGGGGGAUCUCUCUUUCAUAGGGUUGACCUCACACGUAACAACACACUGUUGACCGAGAAGAAAACUUGUCCCUUCACCCAACUCUUUUAAAGAUAUUCUGAUUGUAAACCAAGGCACACUUCGUAGGAAAUAGUAAUCCCCUCUUGGGCCCCAUUGAAUUGUCUGUAGAAAAUAUACCCAUAGGCUAGGACUACGAGAAAGGGAUGGGCGAUUCCUAGAGAAUCAGAAGCGCCGCUCGUCUCCAUUUUAAUUGGAGGUCAACCACAGUGUGUUGGCUAGUAGUUACUCCCAAGUCGGCCCAAGAUCACGGUGUGAGGUGGAAGUUAAAUGGGGGUGGAGCAGAUUGUAGUACUUUACACACGGCGAGAGUUGAGGUCCUAGGAGUGUUUACUCCGAUAUAACUCCCAUCGGCAUCGAUGGGACUUAUGUCGAGUGUGUGUGUGGGGGCUCUUAUCCUCCCCCCCAUGAAGCAUCGAUUUGUUAUUACGGUGCACAGGUAACCGCGCUGUGGCGGCGUGGGUCGCGGUCUGCGCCCGGAUUAGGCAACCAGACGCACCUACAUCACCCCACCCCCGGAAAAAUUCCUGCGGAGACUUUUUCAUUCCAAGACACGUAUGUCGGAGCAUAGCUUAAAGAAGCUGGGGGGGGGGAGAGAGAGAGAGAAAAGAAGUUGCUGUCAGGGUGGAAUCGCGCGUGUGCGCGUUUAAAUCAAAGCGAACUCCGCUGAGCCCGGCGAUUCCUUCCUUCCUUCCUUCCUUGAGGCGGAAAGAGUGAGGAAAAAAAUCCCUUGCCGUCUAAUGAGCAAAGGGCUUUGCGGGGGGGGGGGAAGCCGCUGAAGCCUUCCUCCCGGUUUGAGGAGCCCUCCGUAAUCCCAUUUCUCGCCCCCGGGGCGUGUCCUGGGCCCCCCCUUCCCACGAGGGGCGGGAACACCCAGGGACCCCGGGGACAUAAAGGCAGAGCGAAGGGCGGCCGCCAAGGGACUGGGACGCUUAACCGAGGGGAUACAUUCCGUGGAGGAUUAAAGGACCCGCUGCCGUCGAGGACUAGGGCGGCUCGCUGCCUACGUCGCGGAGGGAAAUUCGAACCCGCG
rnacentral:lncRNA from 1 species